CUUCCGGCGGCGGCGGGCAGCGCGUGUGGGAGCGAGCGGGCGGCGACUGUUUACUUCCGGCCGCCGGGGCUGAGGCCGAGCGCGUCGGGCGGCGGGCGCGGCGGCCCCGCGCAGCCAUGGACUGGCUCAUGGGGUUCCAGCUGCCAGCACCGGCCCUGUUUUCAGCUCCCAGGACUGAACAGAAGAUCACCCACUGCCCCGUUUCCCACUCCCGCUUCUGCUCCUGUUGGACUGACAGACCCAGCAGGACACGGAGUGAAUGGCGUGGCUGGUUGAGGUAGAGGCUGGGGUCUCCUAGGUGACACUGGGCAGAGGCUGGCAAGAAUGACGUUGGGGGCAAGGGAACAGCCUGGGGACUCCUGGGGCUGAGGACUCAGGGGCAAGGCCGGCCUGAGGGGCACAUGGGUGACCCGGAGAGGGAGAGACAGGCCCCAGUGACUUGGGUUUGAGGAGGAUUCUCUGGCUGAGGCCUGAGUCUGGGCCAGGGUCGUCCAGGUGGCCAGUGCAGAGACUGCGCGGAACUCACCAUGCAUGAGGGACUGGGCUGCCGGGCCAGGCCUUGUCCUGCAGUGGGACAGCCGUUGCACCCCUGUGUUCCCGAGGGUGCCCUGUGCUGUGUCCCCUCCCUGUGCGGCCUCAGCCAUGGACCC
rnacentral:lncRNA from 13 species